rnacentral:tRNA from 1 species
UCCCUGGUGGUCCAUUGGUUAGGACUCGGUACUUUUACUGCUGUGGCCUUGGUUCAAUUCCUGGUUGAAGAA